CAUCGUCAGAUGACGCUGGCGGCAGGCUAACACAUGCAAGUCGAGCGUAGAGAGAAGCUUGUUCUCUGAGAGCGGCGGACGGUGAGUAAGCCUAGGAAUCUGCCUGGUAGUGGGGAUAACUUCGGAAACGGACGCUAAUACCGCAUCGUCCUAGGGAGAAAGCAGGGACCUUCGGGCCUUGCGCUAUCAGAUGAGCCUAGGUCGGAUUAGCUAGUUGGUGAGGUAAUGGCUCACCAAGGCGACGAUCCGUAACUGGUCUGAGAGGAUGAUCAGUCACACUGGAACUGAGACACGGUCCAGACUCCUACGGGAGGCAGCAGUGGGGAAUAUUGGACAAUGGGCGAAAGCCUGAUCCAGCCAUGCCGCGUGUGUGAAGAAGGUCUUCGGAUUGUAAAGCACUUUAAGUUGGGAGGAAGGGUUGUAGAUUAAUACUCUGCAAUUUUGACGUUACCGACAGAAUAAGCACCGGCUAACUCUGUGCCAGCAGCCGCGGUAAUACAGAGGGUGCAAGCGUUUAUUGGAAUUACUGGGGGUAAAGCGCGCGUAGGUGGUUUGUUAAGUUGGAUGUGAAAUCCCCGGGCUCAACCUGGGAACUGCAUUCAAAACUGACUGACUAGAGUAUGGUAGAGGGUGGUGGAAUUUCCUGUGUAGCGGUGAAAUGGGUAGAUAUAGGAAGGAACACCAGUGGGGAAGGGGACCACCUGGACUAAUACUGACAGUGAGGUGCGAAAGCGUGGGGAGCAAACAGGAUUAGAUACCCUGGUAGUCCACGCCGUAAACGAUGUCAACUAGCCGUUGGAAGCCUUGAGCUUUUAGUGGCGCAGCUAACGCAUUAAGUGACCGCUGGAGACCGACUGU
rnacentral:rRNA from 1 species